rnacentral:rRNA from 1 species
GAUCAUUAUUGUACAAUGGAAGUGCUGGGGUUGUCGCUGACCUUUGAAAGGGUCGUGCACACCUUGGUGCUUUCACACACAAUCCAUCUCACCCCUUUUGUGCAUUACCGCGUGGGGCCCCCUUUUAGUUAGUUCUGAAUGGGGCUUUCACGUUUUUACAAACACACCCUUUUAAUGCAAUGUGUAGAAUGUCUUACUUUUUUGCGAUCAUACGCAAUUAAUACAACUUUCAACAACGGAUCUCUUGGCUCUCGCAUCGAUGAAGAACGCAGCGAAAUGCGAUACGUAAUGUGAAUUGCAGAAUUCAGUGAAUCAUCGAAUCUUUGAACGCACCUUGCGCCCUUUGGCAUUCCGAAGGGCACACCCGUUUGAGUGUCGUGACAUUCUCAAACCUUCUUGGUUUCUUGACUAAGAAGGCUUUGGACUUUGGAGGCUUUUGCUGGACCUUCCCUUGUUGAAGCCAGCUCCUCUUAAAUGAAUUAGUGGGGUCUGCUUUGCUGAUCCUUGACGUGAUAAGAUGCUUCUACGUCUUGGGUUUUGCACUGUUUAUUCUAGAUCCUGCUUCUAAUCGUC